AAUGGCCACAUGCACCGAGGACACGGUACCAUCUGUUCCAGAAGCCCACGGAUUUGUUCUCCUCAACGUCAGGCACUGCAUGUCUAGGCUCUGCACAUACAGCAGAUCUUGCCGGGCUCUGCACCUGAGUCGGGGCUGGCUGAGGUCACCAGGAGACCUGCCCUGCACCUGCUCAGACUACCGCCUGUGGCUCCCUGAGCCUCUCCAAUGAUGGUGAGUGUGGCCUUCUUCCCAGGGAAAACUUUCUCAAAACAAGCCCUGCCCACAGAAGUUGGAAAAGACUGGCAUUUCCUGAGAAUCCCCUGGGAUCUGCUGGUGGGUCCGAGGACACUGGUAUCAGAGACUGAUGUGACCGUCAUUACCAGGCUGUGUGCACACAGACUUUUCUGCCUGAAUUUUGCAGGCCCCACGGACAGUAAUGACAAAUGCUAUGAUGGAAAAGAACUGGGAGAAGUGAACCUCACUUGGGAAAGAAAAAGGCUUCCUAAGAAACUCCUCGAAGACUACCCCACCCAAGACCCAGUCCCCUCCCGAAGCCCCAGCUGUGAGCUCGCGCGGCUGUGGAGGUACACCUCGGCCUAA
rnacentral:lncRNA from 1 species